rnacentral:rRNA from 1 species
AGAGUUUGAUCAUGGCUCAGAACGAACGCUGGCGGCGUGCUUAACACAUGCAAGUCGAACGCGAAAGUUUUCUUCGGAAGCGAGUAGAGUGGCGCACGGGUGAGUAACGCGUAAGUAAUCUACCCCGGCAUCUGGAAUAACUCACCGAAAGGUGUGCUAAUACCGGAUACGUUGGUAACAAGAAAGGUGGCCUCUGCAUAUGCUACCGUGCUGGGAUGAGCUUGCGUACCAUUAGCUAGUUGGUAGGGUAAUGGCCUACCAAGGCAACGAUGGUUAGCGGGUCUGAGAGGAUGAUCCGCCACACUGGAACUGGAACACGGACCAGACUCCUACGGGAGGCAGCAGUGAGGAAUAUUGCGCAAUGGGGGCAACCCUGACGCAGCGACGCCGCGUGGAUGAUGAAGGCCUUCGGGUCGUAAAAUCCUGUCAGAUGGAAAGAAGUGUUAUGUGGUUAAUACCCAUGUAGCUUGACGGGUACCAUCGAAGNNNGCNCCGCCC